rnacentral:rRNA from 1 species
GAUGAACGCUGGCGGCGUGCCUAAUACAUGCAAGUCGAGCGAACGGAUGAGGAGCUUGCUCCUCUGACGUUAGCGGCGGACGGGUGAGUAACACGUGGAUAACCUACCUAUAAGACUGGGAUAACUUCGGGAAACCGGAGCUAAUACCGGAUAAUAUAUUGAACCGCAUGGUUCAAAAGUGAAAGACGGUCUUGCUGUCACUUAUAGAUGGAUCCGCGCCGCAUUAGCUAGUUGGUAAGGUAACGGCUUACCAAGGCAACGAUGCAUAGCCGACCUGAGAGGGUGAUCGGCCACACUGGAACUGAGACACGGUCCAGACUCCUACGGGAGGCAGCAGUAGGGAAUCUUCCGCAAUGGGCGAAAGCCUGACGGAGCAACGCCGCGUGAGUGAUGAAGGUCUUCGGAUCGUAAAACUCUGUUAUUAGGGAAGAACAAAUGUGUAAGUAACUAUGCACAUCUUGACGGUACCUAAUCAGAAAGCCACGGCUAACUACGUG